AACGAACGCUGGCGGCAUGCCUAACACAUGCAAGUCGAACGAAGGCUUCGGCCUUAGUGGCGCACGGGUGAGUAACGCGUGGGAACCUGCCCUACAGUGGGGAAUAACGACGGGAAACUGUCGCUAAUACCGCAUACGCCCUUCGGGGGAAAGAUUUAUCGCUGAAGGAUGGGCCCGCGUACGAUUAGCUAGUUGGUGAGGUAAUGGCUCACCAAGGCUACGAUCGUUAGCUGGUCUGAGAGGAUGAUCAGCCACACUGGGACUGAGACACGGCCCAGACUCCUACGGGAGGCAGCAGUGGGGAAUAUUGGACAAUGGGCGAAAGCCUGAUCCAGCAAUGCCGCGUGAGUGAUGAAGGCCUUAGGGUUGUAAAGCUCUUUCGGGUGGGACGAUGAUGACGGUACCACCAGAAGAAGCCC
rnacentral:rRNA from 1 species